AGGAGGAGGUUGCAGUGAGGAGGAGGUUGUAGUGAGGAGCAGGUUGCAGUGAGGAGGAGGUUGCAGUGAGGAGGAGGUUGCAGUGAGCCGAGAUUGUGUCCCUGGACUCCAGACUGGGCAAUAGAGCGAGACUAUGUCUCCAGAAAAAAAAAAAAAAAAAAAAAAAAUUUAUAUAGAAAACAGAAAGCAAAACUACCUCUUGAUUUGCUUUUCUUGAUCUUGCAUCUCAGAGGUAACACUGGGAAGGGUUGGGUUAUACCUCUCCCCACCUUUUUCUUUGAUUUCUUUUUAUUUUUUAUUCUACGUUCUGAGAUACAUGUGCAGAAUGUGCAGGUUUGUUACAUAGAUAUACAUGUGCCAUGGUGGUUUGCUGCAUCUAUCAACCCGUCAACUAGGUUUUAAGCCCCACAUGCAUUAGGUAUUUGUCCUAACGCUCUCCCUCGCCUUGUCCCCCACCCCCGAUGGGCCCCGGUGUGUGAUGUUCCCCUCCCUGUGUCCAUGUGUUCUCAUUGUUCAACUCCCACUUAUGAGUGAGAGCACACCGUGUUUGGUUUUCUGUUUCUGUCCACAGCUUUUUCCUCUGUGCACACAAGCACAUGUAUUUGCACAUAAGUGUUUAUUGUAAUAUUUUUAAAAAAGUAAAAAUGAAAUAAUGCUAUAUUUAUUCUUUGGAAAGCCUGCUUUUCAGGCAGCAUGUCUUUGACAUUGUCUCACGUUGGAACCUGGGUAC
rnacentral:lncRNA from 1 species